rnacentral:rRNA from 1 species
UACGGAGGUUGCAAGUGUUAUCCGGAAUCACUGGGCGUAAAGCGUCUGUAGGUGGUUUGCUAAGUCCGCUGUUAAAGCUUGAAGCUCAACUUCGAAAAUGCAGUGGAAACUAGUAGACUUGAGUGUGGUAGGGGUAGAGGGAAUUUCCAGUGAAGUGGUGAAAUGCGUAGAUAUUGGAAAGACCACCAAUGGCGAAGGCACUCUACUGGGCCACAACUGACACUGAGAGACGAAAGCUAGGGGAGCAAAUGGG